GACGAACGCUGGCGGCGUGCCUAAUACAUGCAAGUCGAACGCAGUGGGGACGGGUGAGUAACACGUGGGUAACCUCCCAUCAGAGGGGAUAACACUUGGCAAAAGCUGCUAAACCGAUACGGAUGGAGGGACCCGCUGUGCAUUAGCUAGUUGGUGAGGUAACGGCCCACCUAGGCCACGAUGCCUAGCCGACCUGAGAGGGUGACCGGCCACACUGGGACUGAGACACGGCCCAGACUCCUACGGGAGGCAGCAGUAGGGAAUCUUCGGCAAUGGGCGAAAGUCUGACCGAGCAAUGCCGCGUGAGUGAAGAAGGUUUUCGGAUCGUAAAGCUCUGUUGUUAGAGAAGCGGUAUCUAACCAGAAAGCCACGGCUAACUACGUGCCAGCAGCCGCGGUAAUUC
rnacentral:rRNA from 1 species